rnacentral:guide_RNA from 1 species
UUAUAUUUACUUAUCACUGUUACUAUUAGAUCUGUUCUGUGAUUUUG